rnacentral:rRNA from 1 species
GACAGAGGAGGCGAGCGUUAUCCGGAGUCAUUGGGCGUAAAGGGUACGUAGGCGGCUAGUCAAGUCUGAGGUUAAAGACCACAGCUUAACUGUGGAAAGGCCUUGGAAACUGACUGGCUAGAGUGGGGCAGGGGUUGCGGGAAUUCCGGUGUAGCGGUGAAAUGCGUAGAUAUCGGGAAGAACACCUGAGGCGAAAGCGCGCAACUGGGCCCUGACUGACGCUGAGGUACGAAAGCUAGGGGAGCGAAUGGG